GGAAAUUACUGAGGUAAUGGUAGGGUCUCUGUUUGUUUACUUAUUUCUGUAUGUAAUAACCCAGCACCUAUUGGUAUGUAUUUUAUUUUUUAUUAGUUCUGUUGAUAAUUUCAUAUUUCAGCUGGAGUGUUCAGCCUGGCAUUCUGAUUAGUUAAUAAGUUAAUGUGAUGUUGGCAUCUUUUCUGGGUUCAGUAAAGGACCAAAUCUACAAAUAGAAAUAGUGGAAACAACAUAGGACUUGGGAGUUGACUGACCUGGGUUCAGGUUCUAGCUCUGACUUAGCUGUACAGUGUUCCUUUGGGCAGAUUACUUAUCCGUGCCUCACUUUCCUCAUAUGCUUGAUAAGAUUGUUGUAAAAUUGAUUGACAAGGUAUUUGAAGCCCCUAGCACGGUCACCAACUCAGAUAGUAAUCUGUCCUUUAAGAUUUAAGAACUUAAAAAUUUUGGGCUUUGAUGGCUCCAUCGAAUCUGAACUUUUAAAAAGCAGCUUUAUUAAGAAAUAAUCGACAUACAGUAUAAUUAGUUCACUUAUUGUGUAUAAUUUAGUUGCAGUGAGCCGAGAUCGCACCACUGCACUCCACCCUGGGUGACAGAGCAAGACUCUGCCUCAAAACAAAAACAAAAAGAAGUGAUAUUUUGGAGAUAAAAGAUUUUGCAUUGAGUUGAGGGAUGAGAUGUCACCACAAAUUCAAGGAGUGUAGGAGGACUAGAUGUUGCUGCCUUACAUGUAAUUUCUUGUAACAGAUUAGAAUUAGAGAAAGCAAACUAAGAUUUGAUAACUACUGUAUACUAGGCACUUUUUACUCCAUAUUUUAUUUAAUUUGUAAGAGUGGGAUUUACUAGGAAAAUAUCUGAUUUGAGUCUUUUUAUUUUUAACAGUGAAACUGGAACGCCAAGCUGAAGAAGAACGAAUACGGAAGCACAAAGCAGCUGCUGAGAAAGCUUUCCAGGAAGGGAUUGCCAAGGCCAAACUAGUCAUGCGCAGGACUCCUAUUGGCACAGAUCGAAACCAUAAUAGGUCAGUUCCUAAACCAAAUUUUUGUUUUCUUUAGGACUAUUUACAUUGCUAUUAGUUAGGAAAAUUUUCUAAAGUACAAGAAUAGACAAGCUUCUCUCUUCAGUUUUCCAAUUCUUUUUGGAAACAGAAUUGUUGAUGAUUAUUGAAUAUUAACUGCCAAAUGCUAGAGUUGCAAAGUUAAGUAAGACAUAUUCCUGCCCUUGCAUAUACCACAAGUAGGAAGCUUACAUGAUGGUGAUAGGUGAAAUGUAAUCCAAGUCUUUAAAAAUGGCAGUAGGUUUUAAAUACAUACAUUUUGUGAAACCUAAAGGAGAAAUAUUAGUAGUUACACAAAUUAGGGCUGGGCGUGGUGGUUCACACCUGUAAUCCUACACUUUGGGAGGCUGAGUCGAGAGGAUUGCUUGAGGCCAGGAGUUCAAGACCAGCCCGGCCAACAUAGCGAGACCCCAUUUCAAUUU
rnacentral:lncRNA from 10 species